rnacentral:rRNA from 1 species
UACAGAGGGUGCGAGCGUUAAUCGGAAUUACUGGGCGUAAAGCGCACGUAGGCGGAUUUGUAAGUCAGGGGUGAAAUCCCGGGGCUCAACCUCGGAACUGCCUUUGAUACUGCAAGUCUCGAGUCCGAUAGAGGUGAGUGGAAUUCCUAGUGUAGAGGUGAAAUUCGUAGAUAUUAGGAAGAACACCAGUGGCGAAGGCGGCUCACUGGAUCGGUACUGACGCUGAGGUGCGAAAGCGUGGGGAGCAAACAGGG